GGAUUUAGGCCAACAUAAAUUGGAGAAUCAAGAGUCAACAACUCUAUCAGGCAUCCAUGGCAGAAGAGAGAAUUUGGAAAUGGUCGGGUCAAAAGGGGGUUGUGGAGGAGCAAUAAAUGAACGGCGUCUGCGUAAAAAAAGCCAAUGAAAAGAUGUUGAAACUGAUAACACAAAGAAAGUUGACAAAGGGGAAAUCACAGUCGUUCUAAAACUUGACUUGCGUUGUGCCGGAUGUGCCCGUACAAUUUACUGAAGGUGUGGAAACUGUGAAAGCCGAUUGUGCGACCAACAAGCUGAUAAUAACAAGGAAAGUAGAUCCCGCUCAUAUCAAGGAGCGAGUCGAGGUGAGGACCAAGAAAACCGUAGAAAUGAUACCUCCUAAACCCAAAAAGGAUGAGGGGGUGUAACGAAAGACGAUGAGAAGCCACCGGUUGCAAAAUCUAACAACGAGAAACCCCAAAGAGGUAUCAUAGAUCAUUUGAGUAAAGGACAUGGAUUUUAGCUCACUAUUUUUGUAUUUUUAAUAAUUAGUAUGAAUUUUAUUUUAUUUUUUGUUAUUUUUUAUUUUCACAUCCCUAUCGUAUGUAUAUACGUGUAACUUUGUUUUUCUAAUGCCCUUCUAUGAAGGGGUGUCUUUGGAUAUUAGCUUAAAUGUAUAAGUUACCUUUUAUUUUUGUUGGAUUGAAAUGUCUUUUGUAAAUCUUAAAAAUUUGAGUGUCUUUGAGUGUCUUUGUGAGUUUGAAGUUGUGAUCAAAGCGGGUAAACGUGGUCAACAUAAGUCAACUAAUAGCUUUUUUAAGUUU
rnacentral:lncRNA from 1 species